UCUUUCCGAACCGACGCGUUGGAUGCAGGGUGUUUGAUGGAGACACGGACAGUGACUGUGCAGGUUUGAACUCCACUAACCCCAGCUCUUGUUUUCACUUUUUUUCCUGAGAGGGGCGUUGAGCGCAUUACUCGCUACUGGCUGGAUGAGAAAGCCGGGCCUCCUUUCUCAUUGGACUAGUCGGCCAGACCAAGCUGUCAGCCCAUGUGGCGUGGCGAGGCACAAUGUCAGACAUUUAAAGUCAGCAGAGGGAAGAAGGAAAAAAAGCAGUCAAGCGCGGAUGCUGCAUUUCACCUCGGAGAUAGACGCCUGGCUGUAAAGUACUCCCUCCCGCUGUGGACCGACUGACGGAAUAAACGAGCCACCCUCGUGCUCCAAGGAGUCCUCGCAUCUAAUUCAUUGCUUUUGUUUGGUGACAUUUGGGGAAAAAACACGCCAAACACAGUAACCCAGCAUGGAUGACAUUGUCAUUGCUGGUAUAUCGGGCCGCUUGCCUGAGUCCAGCAACCUGGGGGAAUUCUGGGAGAACCUCAUCAAUGGAGUGGACAUGGUGACAGAGGAUGACCGCAGGUGGACACCAGGCCUGUACGGUCUCCCGAGGAGGAACGGUAAACUGAAGGACAUCAGCCGCUUUGAUGCGGCUUUUUUUGGAGUCCAUCCUAAACAGGCCAACACCAUGGACCCUCAGCUCCGUCUCAUGCUGGAGGUCGCCUACGAGGCCAUUGUAGACGGAGGACUGAAUCCAGCGACUCUACGUGGCAGUAAGACAGGUGUCUAUGUUGGGGUGAGUGGUUCAGAGGCUAGCGAGGCUUUCAGCAGAGACCCAGAGGAGCUUCUUGGUUACAGCAUGACUGGCUGCCAGCGCGCCAUGUUGGCCAACAGGCUCUCCUACUUCUUUGACUUCAAUGGCCCCAGCACGGCUAUAGACACAGCCUGCUCUUCCAGCCUGCUGGCUUUAGAAAAUGCCUUCCACGCCAUGCGGCUGGGCCAGUGCGAUGCUGCUCUGGUUGGAGGAGUCAACCUGCUGCUCAAGCCAAACACCUCAGUGCAGUUCAUGAAACUUGGCAUGCUCAGUCCCGACGGGACGUGCAAGUCCUUUGACGCUUCAGGAAAUGGAUACUGUCGCUCUGAGGCAGCAGUGGUUGUGUUGCUGACCAAGCGGUCGGCAGCUAGGAGAGUUUAUGCCACAGUGUUGAACGCUGGCAACAACACAGACGGAUACAAAGAACAGGGAGUAACGUUUCCUUCAGGUGAGAUGCAGCGGACUCUGGUUAAUUCGCUCUACCAGGAGGCAAACAUCUCACCAGAACAGGUUGAGUACGUUGAAGCCCACGGCACCGGAACAAAGGUGGGUGACCCACAGGAAGUGAACGGCAUUGUCGGUGUGUUCUGUCAGUCCAAACGAGAGCCACUGCUCAUUGGUUCCACCAAGUCCAACAUGGGCCACCCAGAACCGGCCUCUGGUUUGGCUGCCAUAGCUAAGGUGUUGCUGUCUCUGGAGCGAGGAGUGUGGGCCCCCAACCUUCAUUUCAACAGUCCUAACACUGACAUUCCUGCCCUCGCCGAUGGCCGGGUUCAAGUUGUGGACCGGCCUAUCUCUGUACGUGGUGGCAUCAUUGGAAUUAACUCCUUUGGAUUUGGGGGCUCAAAUGUCCACGUGAUCCUUCGUCCCACCGAGAGGCGCACCCAGAUACCGGCUGAGACUAGGGCGAUCCCACGAGUGCUUCAGGCGUGCGGCCGUACCGAGGCUGCUGUGAACUUGCUUCUCCAAAAAGCGAAGGAACACAGUGCUGAUGAUAGCUUCCUGUCUUUGCUCAAUGAAGUGUCUGGAAGUACGACUGCUAGCAUGCCCUAUCGAGGCUACACUCUGAUUGGCUCUCAGACUGACACCAAGGAGGUGCAACAGGUGCAGGCCACUCCCAGGCCCCUCUGGUAUGUCUGCUCAGGUAUGGGGACGCAGUGGGCAGGUAUGGGCCGCAGCCUGAUGCAGCUGCCUGACUUCAGAGAGUCCAUAAUGCUGUCGGACAAAGCCCUAAAGGACACCGGUUUAGUCAUAUCUCGCCUGCUCGAGGAAGCUGAUGAGGCUACUUUUGAAGACACCGUUAAUGCCUUUGUCGGCCUCGCCGCUAUACAGAUAGCUCAGAUAGACCUGCUUGCUAAGUUGGGUCUAAAGCCUGACGGUAUUGUGGGCCACUCGGUGGGAGAGCUGGCGUGCGGCUAUGCUGACGGCUCCCUCAGCCACGAGGAGGCCAUUCUCGCAGCUUACUGGAGAGGCCGUUGCAUCAAAGAGGCAGAUCUUCCUCCCGGGGGCAUGGCUGCAGUGGGGUUGACCUGGAACGAGUGCAUGGCUCAGUGUCCCAAGGGUGUCGUCCCAGCCUGCCACAAUGCUGAAGAUACAGUCACCAUCUCUGGUCCUCAGGAGGCGGUCAGUAAGUUUGUGUCAGAGCUGAAAGAGCAGGGAGUGUUUGCAAAGGAGGUGCGCAGCGCAGGUGUGGCUUUCCAUUCCUACUACAUGGCAUCCAUCGCUCCAACCCUCUUAGCGGCCCUAAAAGCGGUAAUUAAGAAACCACGGCAGCGUUCAUCCCGUUGGGUGAGCACCAGCAUCCCUCAGUCGGAGUGGGACUCUUCGCUGGCUUUGUACAGUUCGGCUGACUAUCACGUCAACAACCUGGUGAGCCCCGUUCUGUUCCAGGAGGGCCUCAGCUUGGUGCCUGACAACGCUGUUGUCUUGGAGAUAGCACCUCAUGCUCUCCUUCAGGCCAUCCUCAAGCGUAGCCUGAAGGGGACAUGUGUUUCACUUCCCCUCAUGAAGAGAGGUCACCCCAAUAACCUUGAGUUCUUUCUCUCAAACAUUGGCAAACUCUACAUGAAUGGCAUCAACUUGGAUGGGAAUGGGCUGUGUUCAGGAAUUGAAUACCCUGUACCAGUUGGCACCCCUAUGAUCUCACCCCUGGUUCAGUGGGACCAUUCCCAGACCUGGGAUGUCCCCAAGGUGGAGGAUUUCUCCUCUGGCGCUGUUGGAUCCAAUUCUGCUGUCGUCUACAACAUCAACAUAAAUCCUGAGUCUCCGGACUACUACCUGAUUGGACACUGCAUCGAUGGGCGAGUCCUCUACCCAGCGACAGGUUACUUGGUGCUGGCAUGGCGUACCUUGAUUAGAAGUCUGGGUCUUGUCAUGGAUACCACUCCUGUGAUGUUUGAGGAUGUCGCCAUCCACAGGGCCACCAUUCUGCCAAAGACUGGCUCGGUACAGCUGGAAGUACGUUUCAUGCCUGCCACCAACAAGUUUGAGGUUUCAGAGAAUGGAAACCUGACUGUCAGCGGCAAAGUAAGCGUAAUGGAGGAUGCCGCCCUUGAGUCGUUCCAUAGUCAGUUAAGGCUGGGAUCUCACAAAGACCACCACGACCCCAAAUUGAAGCUCUUGGCACAUGAUGUCUACAAGGAACUGCGACUUCGUGGCUAUGACUAUGGCAAGACCUUCCAAGGCAUCUUGGAAGCCAACAAUGCAGGAGACAUUGGGAUGCUGCAGUGGACAGGAAACUGGGUGACCUUCCUGGACACCAUGCUACAGAUGAUUGUUGUCGGGCUCUCGGGCCGUAGUCUUCGCUUGCCAACCAGGAUCCGCUCGGUCUGCAUUGAUCCUGCUGUCCAUCUGGAAAAGGUCUGCAAGUAUGCAGAUGAAAAACAAGCUGUGUCGGUCCACCUCACCCGCUGCCUUGACAAAAUCGCUGCCGGUGGAGUCCAGAUCAGUGGUCUGCAUGCAACUGUGGCACCACGUCGACAGCAGCAGCAGAUCCCUCCCACCUUGGAGGAGUUCCUGUUUGUUCCCUACGUGGAGACAGAGUGCCUGACAGCCAACGGGAAACUUGUGGAGCAGCUGAGGCUUUGUAAAGGAUUGAUCCACAGGCUGCAGCAAAAGUUGGCUUCUCAUGGUGUGAAGCUCUCCAUCCCCGGUCUGCAGGGGGUGUCAGAAAGCCCUAUGCCCAGCCCUGUGCCCUCUGAACCCGGUUUGGUGCGGUUACUGGCCCUGCUCUGUGACCUGGAGCUGAACGGCAACCUUUGUUCGGAGCUGGAGCAGAAUGUGGAGAAGGAGAGGGCAUGUCUGCUGCAAGACAGUCUGCUGCAGGGACUUCUGCACGACUCGGCCCUCAGACACUGUGUGGACACUGCCAUGGAAAACAGCAUGCCUGGCAAGAUUAAAGUCGUAGAAGCACUUUCCAGUGAUGGCCAGCUCUUUUCCCACAUAAUUCAACUGCUCAACAUCCAGCCCAUGUUACGUGUGGACUACAUCGCUACAGCUGCCAAUCAGGAUCUUCUAGCUCCCCAUCAGACCAUUCUGGAGGAACUAGCGGUCACGUCAGCUCAGUGGGACCCGAUGUUGGGCCCAGCCCCCGGAGGCACAGUUGGUGGGGCUGACCUGGUGGUUUGUAACCAUGCAUGGUGCCCGCUCAGGAUGGACCCUGGACUCCUGGUAGCAAAUCUCGCUUCUGGAGCCAGGCAAGGAGGGUUUGUUCUCCUCCACACUCUGCUGAAAGGGGAGACUCUUGGGGAAACGGUGAACUUUCUCUCCAGAGCAAAUGAGAACUGUCAGCAAGGACUGCUCACACAGGCCGAGUGGAAGAAGGUGUUUUUUGAGGCUUCACUCACCCUGGUGGCCAUCAGGAAGUCCUUUUACGGCUCUGUGCUCUUUCUUUGUCGCUGUCGGGCCCCCGUUGUAGAGCCAGUUAUGCUUGCUGUAGACAGUGCUGACUACCAGUGGGUGGAAACACUCAAGGCAAGACUGGCUGAGCCCUCAGACUCUCCCUUGUGGUUGACAGCUUCUCAGGCCCACUGCGGUGUUGUGGGAAUGGUCAACUGUCUGCGGCAAGAACCAGGUGGCAACCGAAUACGCUGUGCAUUUGUGUCAAAUCUUGACGGCUCGUCAGACGCACCAAUCCUCCAGCUGGACCAUCCAUCCAUGCAGUCGGUGCUGGACGGGGACCUUGUCAUGAACGUAUUCCGAGAUGGGCACUGGGGUGUCUUCAGACACCAGCGCAUAACUCUUGACGCAAAUGAAGAGUUGACAGAGCAAGCCUACGUCAAUGUGUUGACUCGGGGUGACCUCUCGUCCUUGCGCUGGAUUGCCUCACCGCUGCGUCACUUCGUACCCAGCAACCCCAACGUGCAGCUGUGUCGUGUCUAUUACAGCUCGCUCAACUUCCGAGAUAUAAUGCUCGCCACGGGCAAGCUACCGCCUGACGCUAUCCCAGGGGACCUAGCUCUGCAGCAGUGCAUGCUGGGCAUGGAGUUCUCUGGUUCUGACCCCAACGGUCGGCGUGUAAUGGGACUGCUGCCCGCCAAAGGCUUGGCAACAUGUGUGGAUGCGGACAGAAGAUUCCUCUGGGAUGUCCCCACUAACUGGACUCUAGAGCAGGCUGCCUCGGUGCCCGUCGUCUAUGCCACAGCGUACUACUCCCUCGUGGUUCGGGGCAGGCUCCGCCCUGGAGAGAGUGUACUCAUCCACUCGGGAUCAGGAGGUGUUGGGCAGGCCGCCAUCGCCAUUGCCCUCAGCAAAAACUGCAAAGUCUUCACAACAGUUGGCUCAGCAGAGAAGCGGGUCUACCUGCAGGAGAGGUUCCCCACGCUAUCAGCAGAGUCCUUUGCUAAUUCUAGAGACACGUCCUUUGAACAGCACAUCCUACUCCACACUCAAGGCAAAGGUGUGGAGGUGGUGCUGAACUCUCUGGCCGAGGAGAAGCUUCAAGCGAGUAUUCGCUGUCUGGCACGACAUGGCCGAUUCCUGGAGAUUGGCAAAUACGACCUGUCCAACAACUCCCCUCUUGGCAUGGCUCUAUUCCUAAAAAAUGUCGCAUUCCAUGGCAUUUUGCUGGAUGCUCUCUUUGAAGAAGGAAACCGUGAAUGGGAGGAAGUGUCUGCGCUGCUGAAGGAGGGCAUUGCAGGAGGCGUUGUCCAGCCUCUGAAGACCACUGUGUUCCAAAGGGACCAAGUGGAGGAGGCGUUCAGAUACAUGGCUCAGGGCAAACACAUUGGCAAGGUCCUCCUGCAGGUGUGUCGUGAGAACACUGGUGCAUCGCUCCAGUCCGCUGCCCCUUUAAGGCUUCCAGCGCUGUGUCGCACCUACUGCCUCCCUUCCCACUCCUAUAUCAUCACUGGGGGACUUGGGGGCUUUGGCCUCGAGCUUGCUCAGUGGCUGACGGAAAAAGGAGCCAGAAAAUUGGUGCUUACUUCCAGAUCUGGAAUCAGGAAUGGUUACCAGGCAAAGCGUGUGCGUGAGUGGCAGAAUCAGAAUGUGGACGUUUUGGUGUCCACCAGUGACGUCAGCACACUGGAGGGAGCGGAGAAGCUCAUCGCUGAGGCCCGCAGGCUGGGCACAGUGGGCGGGGUCUUCCACCUUGCCAUGGUGUUGAAGGAUGGCAUGUUGGAGAAUCUGACUCCUCAGCACUUCACUGCUGUGAACAACCCUAAAUAUGAUGGCACCAUAAACUUGGACAAAGUCACAAGAAAUUCCUGUCCAGAACUGGCUUACUUCGUGGCAUUCUCCUCGGUCAGCUGCGGCCGUGGCAACGCCGGGCAAAGUAACUAUGGUUACGCAAACUCUGCCAUGGAGCGCUUGUGCGAGAAGCGGCGCCACGACGGCCUGCCCGGGCUUGCAAUCCAAUGGGGCGCCAUCGGUGAUGUGGGCGUGGUGCUGGAGACCAUGGGCGGCAAUGACGCAGUGAUUGGCGGCACACUACCGCAGCGCAUCGCAUCUUGCCUGGACGUGCUCGACCACUUCCUGUGCCAGCAGAGGCCAGUGAUGUCCAGCUUUGUGCUGGCAGAGCGCACGGUUGUAAAGACUGAGGUGGGAAGCCAGAAGGACUUGGUGGAAGCUGUAGCUCACAUUCUGGGUGUGCGGGAUGUCAACAGCCUAAAUGCUGAUUCCUCACUGGCUGACUUGGGCCUGGACUCCUUGAUGGGUGUGGAGGUCCGCCAGACUCUGGAGCGUGACUAUGAUAUAGUUAUGGCCAUGAGAGAGAUUCGGCAGCUGUCCAUCAACAAGCUGCGUGAACUGUCCCAUAAGAAGCCGGAAGGAUCAAACGUUAAAAAGGACGUCAUCCGCACAUUGUCAGAAUCCAAUCUGACGCAGCUACUCGUCAACCCGGACGGCCCCACGGUGACGCCUCUCAACAAUGUGCAGAGCCAGGAGAGGCCACUGUUCCUCGUCCAUCCCAUUGAGGGCUCUGUUUCUGCUUUUAAGACACUUGCCUCCAAGCUCAGCCUGCCUUGCUAUGGCUUGCAAUGCACCAAAGCUGCUCCUUUGGACAGCAUCCAGUCUCUGGCGGCGUACUACGUGGACUGCAUCAGACAGGUUCAGCCAGACGGGCUGUAUCGAAUUGCCGGCUACUCGUUUGGUGCCUGUGUGGCGUUUGAAAUGUGCUCCCAGCUGCAGAACCAGAAAUUGGCUGUGGAGAAUCUCUUUCUGUUUGAUGGAUCACACUCAUACGUGGCAGCCUAUACACAGAGCUACAGAGCCAAGCUGACACCAGACAAAGAGUCUGAGGCUGAAACUGAAGCCUUGUGCGCCUUCAUCCAGCAGUUCACUGGCACUGAGUACAACAAGCUUCUGGAGACGCUCCUCCCGCUGCGGGACUUGGAGGCACGUGUCACCGCAGCUGUGGACCUCAUCACGUCCACCCACAAGAACAUCAGCAGAAACAUGCUGCACUUUGCAGCCACCACCUUUUACUAUAAGCUGAAGGCAGCAGACGCUUACGUCCCUGCGACCAAAUACAACGGCAACGUGAUGCUACUGCGCGCCAAAACCAGCAGUGAAUACGGGCAAAACUUGGGAGCAGACUACAAGCUCAGCGAGGUAUGCGACGGCCAGGUGUCGGUCCACGUCAUUGAGGGUGACCACCACACGUUUUUGGAAGGAGAGGGUGUGGAGUCCAUCGUCAGCAUCAUUCACAGCUCAUUGACUGAGCCAAGAGUUACUUCAAGGGAGGGUUAAAACAUCCCACAACCCCGUGUGCCACUUCUGCAACAUUCCCAAAAAACAAAUCUCUUUGUUUAGGAUAUGUUUUGCUUUGUUUCAUUGAGGGAAUAUCCUACAGUAAGUCUUGCACGCUCAAUGUUUACAAUUUGUGCCAUUUUUGCUACAUUGCCCAUGAGCUGAAAUGUUCCUCCAUCUACAGUAUAUGGACUCUUAACUGGUAUUUUAUUACCCUAUUAGGUGAACGCUGUGUGCUGCCAGCACGGACAUAUAAAGUAAGAGUACAUUUGCAGCAAGAAUGUGAAUUUUUAAACCAUUUCUACAAUGAAACAUUAACUGCAGUCAUGGAUGGAAAAAAUGAUUAGACCACCCUUGUUUCUUCAGUUUAUUGAUCCAUUUUGAUGCCUGGUACAACUAAAGGUACACUUGUUUGGACAAAUAUAAUGGUGAUAACAAAUAUAACUCAUAAGACUUGAAUUGAAGAGCCGAUAUCUACCAACUUCCAUGGUUUUCUUGAUAAUAACCAAAAUCACUUAAGUUCUUACAUGAAAAGCUAUAACAUUGUACUGGCAAAACAAUUUAACUCUUAUGAGCUAUUUUUGUUGCCAUUGUUAUAUUAUACCUUUACUUGUAUCAGGCAUUAGAAUGAACAAGAAACUGAAGAAACAAGGGUGGUCUAAUCAUUUUUUCCAUGACUGUAUGUAAUGCAGGGGUGUCCAAAGUGCUGCCUGAGGCACAUUCUAAAAUUAAAAUUCAACAAGACCUGCAUCAGAAGAGCACGAAGAAAGGGGGGAAAAAGGUGACUGAAAAAAGCAUGCAUAUGCUGACCUAUAUUGGAUGUGCUUUAAUGUUUAGAAUCAAAAUGACCCUCUAUCCUUCAGUUUUCACUAUAAGGCUGAAACAUCUCAUGUAAUGGCAGAUACAUAAUUCACUAUUAUUAUUCCUGUACGUCUUUAACAUGCGUCUGCAUUUCAUCUCGAGUACUCUCACAUCACAAUACAGGGUAUGAUAAAGAUAAUCAUAUGAAUAACAAUUAAUGGGACGUACAAAGCAGCACUAAAUAAAGGUGCAUGUUCUCAGUCCGUAAUGCUGUGAAAUCAUUUCAACUAACAUGUUGUUGAAUUUUACAGUAAAACCACUCGAUACCUGACUUAAAAUUGACUUAAGACCACAGAAGUGCGAUCAGAUGAGGUCAUCUUCAACCGUUGUUUUCUGGCAAAAUGUCGUUUUGGCUUUUAUUUCCACUGUCUCCUCAGUGACAAUGAGGAUGUUUGUUACUAACUGACGUAUAGUCGUCCCUCGUCACAUCGUGGUUCGAAUUUCGUGACUUCACUCUCGUCACGGUUUUUCAAAAUAUAUUAAUAAAUCAUCGCUGUUUCGUGGUUGACUACGGCCUGUUGGCCAAAAAAUAUGAAUAUUUCAGUCAAAUGUAUGUAAUUUUAUUAUGCAUUUGCAAGCAUAAAAAUGACUAACUGACCUCACUAAAAUACAAAUAUAAGCCAUUCAGAAAAGGUCUUGGAAGACACAUUGUGGUAUGUAGUAUUCUACACUGGCCACGAGGUGUCACCAGUGUGACAUUGAUUCAAUAGCCACUGCAGGAAGUGGUAGUAAAAAAUAAAAUAAAAAGUUUAACUCCCAAUGCCACCAUGUGGGUCUAUAUUAUGUAUUACUUGCUAUUAUGUCUACUAUAUUGGGUGAUAGGAGUGUAAAGGUGACUAUAGGGGUAUUAUUUAAUGUCUUGAGGGCUCUAAUAGUGGAAAUGAACUCAUCACGGUCGAGUCUGCGACCAAAUAACCGCGAUAAACGAGGGACGACUGUAUGUCGAUAGACAUGUAGGCUGGAUCUCAAAUGGAACACCUGUACUUCCAUGAGUACACUUCAUUAAGUGUACUGUGUAGUUCCUGGAGGCGCACAUUUUGACAGUGUAGUGCUGUCCUGAGCACUUACCAAAAACCCACUACUACCCCUUAGUCGUCUUAUCUCCUUUUUAAUGGUGAUUUAUAACACACAGUGGCCAUGUAGUGGAAGGCGAGGGAGUAACGUGAAAUAAUGGCGGCUGAGGAGCACCCUGUCGCCGUGAAAAAGCAGUGAAGAAAAUGAAGCAGCAGCCGGAGGUAAAAAUAGUAACAUUUCCGGUAAGUGAGCAUGGAUUUGGGACAAGUAUUACACUAUCAAAAUGUGCGCACUCAGGAACUAAGUACACAGUAAACACUUCAAAUCGGAUGUAUUUUUGCCCAAAUUAAGCGUUUUCAAGCAUAUAUAAGCCAUGAAGACUGCUAUUGUGACUGUAGUAUUCUACAUUGGUCACCAGGUGUCAGUAACUGUUUGGUGAGACAAACACCAGACUUGAUCACCGGAAUUGCACGUUCAUCUCACAACGGGCACAAUAAUAAUAGUAACAUAAUCAUAAUAACUGAACUCUGAAUCCCCGGUGUCACUUCCUGUCCGCCACUGAUUCUGCUCCCCUACAAGAUAAAGCUACUAUGUUGGAUAAUAGGAAUGUGAAAGUGACAAUAGGGGUGUUAUUUCAUAUAUAGAUGGGUCUAAUAAUGUUAAAAAAAACUUUAUAAGAUUGUAAACAGGUUUUCUAUGCCAUAACUCUGAAAAUAUUCAAUUUAUAAAGAAGGAAUCCUACAUGGGAACUAAUUAACCAGGAUAAACGAGGGCUUACUGGAUUCUAUUUAAGACCCAGCCUUAGUAUUACCCUGAAUAACACAAGUAGGACUAGAAGUUGUCUCGGAUACUAACGCCUGUUGUAUGCAGACCUGUAUUAGCCCCUGAUGAGUUUGAGGGUCCACUGUAAACUAGGAUCUUUGCCGUUUGUGUCUGACUUUGAACCCUGUCGGGACCUGCAAAAAAAAAAUGCAACAGCUUACCUAAUCUCUGAGAUGCCAGCGCUAGUCAAUGAAGAGUUAGGUGACUGGAGACAAGUGUACUAGAACAGAGCAUAAUGCAUUGAGUACAGUAUAGUGUAUUGUUGCAGCUAAUAAAAGCCUCUGACUACAUAUUUUAAACUGACUUUUACUUCAUUCAACCAACUCUUCUGCAAGCAGAUCCGGAAAUUAGAAGUACAGAUCCUUGCAACGCGGGGCCGUGCGUUAUGCUGCAGCACGGGGAGAUGGUUGUGGAUGAAUGGCACAACAUCAGGCCUUAGGAUCUCGUCAUGGUGUCCCUGUGCAUUCAAAAUGCCAUCAAUGAAAUGCACCUGUGUUGUAGAAAGUGGUGCAUGGUGGGGGUGGGGUUAUAACAUUGGCAGGCACGUGUUAUGGACAACACACAGGUUUGGACAUUUUGACUCAUACAAUUUAAAGAACAUUUACUUGAUCAUUUGCAAAAUACAAAAUAUGGACAGACUCUAUGAUAACACUAAACAAUAAUAAAUUGAGACACGGCGCACUCCUCCCCCUCCAAACCCUCCUGAUAUCCUGAUGUUAAUGUCCUCCGAUUCUGGAGCAACAAUUGUAAGAUGCAGCUCCAGAACCCUUGCGGUCUCUGUUUAAUUGCCAUUGUUCACUGGCGACACAAUCCAGGUUUAAGCACUAAAUAUGCCUCACUCUUAUUUAACACGUGAAAAGUAGAAAAUGUAUUGGCUGGCGACCAGUCCAGGUUGUACCCCGCAGCCUGGGUUGCCCACAGUCAGCUGGGAUAGGCUCCAGCAUGACCCUAUAGAGGAUAAGCGGCAGUGGCAGAGCCAGAUAUUUUUCAUUGCGGUGGCCAAGGUGAGACCAUUAUUUACAUAGGGGUGGCAAUAAGUUGAUACCUGAAUUGUCUAGAUGGCCAGUGGGGUGACCUGAGAGUGACCAAGGGUGGCCACCCCGUAGCUACGCCACUGACAAGCGGCAUAGAAAAUAUCGAAAGUAUAAAAUGUAUAGGUACUGACCACUAAUAAAUGAUGCAAGAUGACCCAUGACUGACAAAGCUAGUGCUUCUGUAGCCAAACAAACUUCUGCGUCACAACGUACAAGUAUGACGCGUUCAAAGACCACCAAACAAAGUGCGAAAUAUGACAAAUCAACGAAUCUGCAAAUCUACAUAAACAUGUAAAACUUGUGGACUUUGUAACAGUAGAACAUUUUAACUGUAUUAUCACUUAUUUAUAAAUUAUUACGUAUCUAUGGUGAAUGAGAUGUCUUUUUUGCGGGGAAAAAAAAUAAAUUUUAUGAAAACAAUUUUUUUGCGCGUACGUUUCUAUCCUUAUUUUGUAAUGAUGAAUGUUUCCAAUUUAGUUUCGUCUGGAUAGUAAUUAUAGUAAUAUAAUUUAUUGAGGGCGUUUUUAUGAUCACAUUGCUACUGUCUUUAGACUGUCUUUGUUUGAUUAAUGUGUACUGUUCUGUACUAAUUUAUGAGAUAAAUAAAGCAUUUAAAUGUGGAACUACGUCAGAAUAAUAAUCAGGAUUUGCGGAAAUUGUCUACAUUGUCAUUGUAAAGUGGAAAUAAAAAUAACUGAAUGGCUUAUGACUUUCGGUGUCACCGCUAAAUGUGUCCGGGGUUUUUCGACAGCACUAUGAUUUGUCAUAAAAAACAGCUACGUGACAAAAAAUCCUCGAGACGUUUUCCCAAAAAAUAGCUUUUAGAUUGUGACUUUGAAAUAAGAAACAUUGACAAUUUUGGUUAUUUCCUAACUUACUAAAUCGAGUCUUGGGGCGUUUUCUCAUGUUGUCGUUUUACAACUUUUGCAUGACGUCGGUCGCAACGUCAAAACUUCCGGACACAUAUAGCAGUAACACAGGAAGUACAAAUAUGCGGAAGUGUUUUUUCUUGCCACAAGUGUGUUGUAUUGUCCUAUUAUCACAGUGGUGGCUAGACAUGCAUAAGAUGACGAGUAAACAGUUGCGGCCCUUUUAAAUCCGCCACACCCUCAGCUGAGGACACUGCUUUUUGGCGCGUGGUUGCUGGCUUACGUCACCUUUCUGCUCUCCAUCAGGAGAAUGUGGACGAUCAAGCACGCACGGCGUCCUCUGGCACGUGCGCUGUUUGUGAACAUGCUAAACGAAGGCGAAGGAACUGC